UGCCGUUUUCCGAUGGGCACGGUGCCUAUCAUAAAAGUGUGUCUACAAAAUGUUGUCGUGUAAACGAGUAAAUAGCGAAGUGGCGGUUUUGGCACGGUGCCCAUUUUCAGGGGUGCCGUGCCCAAAACGCUUGUCGUGUAAACCGGCCUUUAGUGGUAGUUCGUCUGGCCUGUCUCUAUUAACGUUUGGGUUCAAAUCACGUUGAACUCAUAUUUUGUAGCGGACUCACAAUAUUUUUUUUCCCUUUAUAUAAUCUGGCUAUUUUUUACUCUUUUUAUAGUUCUAUGUGAGAAAUCGCUUUCCAAGUAGUAUAAAAUAUUGCUAUGUUGAACCUGGCCCGAAGAGAUCCAGCUAAUCAUUCUGUGUUGAUUUCAUAUUGAAUUCUUUCACCGCGUUCAGCGCCAUUCACCGCAUAAUAGUCUCCUACACCGUAUGAGAUAAGCAGGUCACAACAAUCUACUAUUGUCUUUAAUUUCACAAAAAUUUCAGAUCGUCCCUGGUGGCUUAGUGGUAGGUCGUUUGGCCUGUCUCUAUUAACGUUUGGGUUCAAAUCCCGUUGAACUCAUAUUUUGUAGCGGACUCUCAAUAUUUUUUUUCCUUUAUUUAUUCUUGCUAUUUUUUAUACUCUUUAUACUUCUAUGUGAGAAAUCGCUUUGCAAGUAGUAUAAAAUAUUGCUAUUUUGAACUUGGGCCGAAGAGAUCCAGCUAAUCAUUCUGUGUUGAUUUCAUAUUGAAUUUUUUCACCGCGUUCACCGCCAUUCACCGCAUUAUAGUCUCCUACACUCAUGAGAUAAGCAGGUCACAACAAUCUACUAUUGUCUUUAAUUUCACAAAAAUUUCAGAUCGUCCCUGGUGGUUUAGUGGUAGUUCGUCUGGCCUGUCUCUAUUAACGUUUGGGUUCAAAUUACGUUGAACUCAUAUUUUGUAGCGGACUCACAAUAUUUUUCUUCCCUUUAUAUAAUCUGGCUAUUUUUUACUCUCUUUAUAGUUCUAUGUGAGAAAUCGCUUUGCAAGCAGUAUAAAAUAUUGCUAUGUUGAACCUGGCCCGAAGAGAUCCAGCUAAUCAUUCUGUGUUGAUUUCAUAUUGAAUUCUUUCACCGCGUUCACCGCCAUUCACCGCAUAAUAGUCUCCUACACCGCAUGAGAUAAGCAGGUCACAACAAUCUACUAUUGUCUUUAAUUUCACCAAAAUUUCAGAUCGUCCCUGGUGGCUUAGUGGUAGUUCGUCUUGCCUGUCUCUAUUAACGUUUGGGUUCAAAUCACGUUGAACUCAUAUUUUGUAGCGGACUCACAAUAUUUUUUUCCCUUUAUAUAAUCUGGCUAUUUUUUAUACUUUUUAUACUUCUAUGUGAGAAAACGCUUUGCAAGUAGUAUAAAAUAUUGCUAGGUUGAACCUGGCCCGAAGAGAUCCAGCUAAUCAUUCUGUGUUGAUUUCAUAUUGAAUUCUUUCACCGCGUUCACCGCCAUUCACCGCAUAAUAGUCUCCUACACCGCAUGAGAUAAGCAGGUCACAACAAUCUACUAUUGCCUUUAAUUUCACCAAAAUUUCAGAUCGUCCUUGGUGGCUUAGUGGUAGUUCGUCUGGCCUGUCUCUAUUAACGUUUGGGUUCAAAUCACGUUGAACUCAUAUUUUGUAGCGGACUCACAAUAUUUUUUUUCCCUUUAUAUAAUCUGGCUAUUUUUUACUCUUUUUAUAGUUCUAUGUGAGAAAUCGCUUUUCAAGUAGUAUAAAAUAUUGCUAUGUUGAACCUGGCCCGAAGAGAUCCGGCUAAUCAUUCUGUGUUGAUUUCAUAUUGAAUUCUUUCACCGCGUUCACCGCCAUUCACCGCAUCAUAGUCUCCUACACCGCAUGAGAUAAGCAGGUCACAACAAUCUACUAUUGUCUUUAAUUUCACAAAAAUUUCAGAUCGUCCCUGGUGGCUUAGUGGUAGUUCGUCUGGCCUGUCUCUAUUAACGUUUGGGUUCAAAUCCCGUUGAACUCAUAUUUUGUAGCGGACUCUCAAUAUUUUUUUUCCUUUAUUUAUUCUUGCUAUUUCUUAUACUUUUUAUACUUCUAUGUGAGAAAUCGCUUUGCAAGUAGUAUAAAAUAUUGCUAUGUUGAACCUGGCCCGAAGAGAUCCAGCUAAUCAUUCUCUGUUGAUUUCAUAUUGAAUUCUUUCACCGCGUUCACCGCCAUUCACCGCAUAAUAGUCUCCUGCACCGCAUGAGAUAAGCAGGUUACAACAAUCUACUAUUGUCUUUAAUUUCACAAAAAUUUCAGAUCGUCCCAGGUGGCUUAGUGGUAGUUCGUCUGGCCUGUCUCUAUUAACGUUUGGGUUCAAAUCACGUUGAACUCAUAUUUUGUAGCGGACUCACAAUAUUUUUUUUCCCUUUAUAUAAUCUGGCUAUUUUUUACUCUUUUUAUAGUUCUAUGUGCGAAAUCGCUUUGCAAGUAGCAUAAAAUAUUGCUAUGUUGAACCUGGCCCGAAGAGAUCCAGCUAAUCAUUCUGUGUUGAUUUCAUAUUGAAUUCUUUCACCGCGUUCAUCGCCAUUCACCGCAUAAUAGUCUCCUACACCGCAUGAGAUAAGCAGGUCACAACAAUCUACUAUUGUCUUUAAUUUCACAAAAAUUUCAGAUCGUCCCUGGUGGCUUAGUGGUAAUUCGUCUGGCCUGUCUCUAUUAACGUUUGGGUUCAAAUCACAUUGAACUCAUAUUUUGUAGCGAACUCACAAUAUUUUUUUUCUCUUUAUAUAAUCUGGCUAUUUUUUACUCUUUUUAUAGUUCUAUGUGAGAAAUCUCUUUUCAAGUAGUAUAAAAUAUUGCUAUGUUGAACCUGGCCCGAAGAGAUCCAGCUAAUCAUUCUGUGUUGAUUUCAUAUUGAAUUCUUUCACCGCGUUCACCGCCAUUCACCGCAUAAUAGUCUCCUACACCGCAUGAGAUAAGCAGGUCACAACAAUCUACUAUUGUCUUUAAUUUCACAAAAAUUUCAGAUCGUCCCUGGUGGCUUAGUGGUAGUUUGUCUGGCCUGUCUCUAUUAACGUUUGGGUUCAAAUCACGUUGAACUCAUUUUUUGUAGGGGACUCACAAUAUUUUUUUUCCCUUUAUAUAAUCUGGCUAUUUUUUACUCUUUUUAUAGUUCUAUGUGAGAAAUCGCUUUGCAAGUAGUAUAAAAUAUUGCUAUGUUAAACCUGGCCCGAAGAGAUCCAGCUAAUCAUUCUGUGUUGAUUUCAUAUUGAAUUCUUUCACCGCG
rnacentral:lncRNA from 1 species